rnacentral:rRNA from 1 species
CGGCGGACGGGUGAGUAACACGUGAGUAACCUGCCUUUUACACAGGGAUAGCCUCGGGAAACCGGGAUUAAAACCUGAUGAAACUAUCAAAUCACAUGAUUAAGAAAGUUAAAACUCCGGUGGUAAAAGAUGGACUCGCGUCCCAUUAGCUAGUUGGUGAAGGUAACGGCCCACCAAGGCAACGAUGGGUAGCCGGCCUGAGAGGGUGAACGGCCACAUUGGAACUGAGAAACGGUCCAAACUCCUACGGGGGGCAGCAGUGGGGAAUAUUGCACAAUGGGGGAAACCCUGAUGCAGCGACGCCGCGUGAGCGAAGAAGGCCUUCGGGUCGUAAAGCUCUUUUAUAUGGGAAGAUAAUGACGGUACCAUAAGAAAAAGCCCCGGCUAACUACGUGCCAGCAGCCGCGGUAAUACGUAGGGGGCUAGCGUUGUCCGGAAUCACUGGGCGUAAAGGGUUCGCAGGCGGCAAUGCAAGUCAGAUGUAAAAGGCAAAGGCUCAACCUUUGUAAGCAUCUGAAACUGUAUAGCUUGAGAAGUGUAGAGGCAAGUGGAAUUUUUAGUGUAGCGGUGAAAUGCGUAGAUAUUAAAAAGAAUACCGGUGGCGAAGGCGA